rnacentral:rRNA from 1 species
AACGAACGCUGGCGGCAGGCUUAACACAUGCAAGUCGAGCGCAUCCUUCGGGGCGAGCGGCAGACGGGUGAGUAACGCGCGGGAACGUACCCUUUCUUACGGAAUAGCUCCGGGAAACUGGAAGGAAUACAGUAUACGCCCUUAGGGGGAAAGAUUUAUCGGGGAAGGAUCGGCCCGCGUUGGAUUAGCUAGUUGGUGGGGUAAAGGCCGACCAAGGCGACGAUCCAUAGCUGGUCUGAGAGGAUGAUCAGCCACAUUGGGACUGAGACACGGCCCAAACUCCUACGGGAGGCAGCAGUGGGGAAUAUUGGACAAUGGGCGCAAGCCUGAUCCAGCCAUGCCGCGUGAGUGAUGAAGGCCUUAGGGUUGUAAAGCUCUUUCAGUAGGGAAGAUAAUGUCGGUACCUACAGAAAAAGCCCCGGCUAACUUCGUGCCAGCAGCCGCAGUAA